AUUGAACGCUGGCGGCAUGCAUUACACAUGCAAGUCGAACGGCAGCACGGGGGCAACCCUGGUGGCGAGUGGCGAACGGGUGAGUAAUGCAUCGGAACGUGCCCAGUAGUGGGGGAUAACCAGUCGAAAGACUGGCUAAUACGGCAUACGACCCAAGGUUGAAAGCGGGGGACCGUAAGGCCUCGCGCUAUUGGAGCGGCCGAUGGCUGAUUAGCUAGUUGGCGGGGUAAGAGACCACCAAGGCGACGAUCAGUAGCUGGGCUGCGAGGACGACCAGCCACACUGGGACUGAAACACGGCCCAGACUCCUACGGGAGGCAGCAGUGGGGAAUUUUGAACAAUGGGCGCAAACCUGAUCCAGCCAUGCCGCGUGCGGGAAGAAGGCCUUCGGGUUGUAAACCGCUUUUGGCAGGAACGAAACGGCGCAGGCCAAUACCUUGCGCUAAUGACGGUACCUGCGGAAUAAGCACCGGCUAACUACGUGCCAGCCGCCGCAGUAAUAC
rnacentral:rRNA from 1 species